AGCGUGUACAUUAUUCUCCGUUUCUGCAUCAUUUCCUUCUGUGUGUUGAGGAGGAAUACCUGACGCAAGACGUUGAGAACUCUAAAAGAAAAAAAGUAACGCUUCAAAGAUCCUUCUAGUCAUUCAAUAGCUGGAGAGAACAUUUCCAUUAUGAUGGUGUAGAGACUUACAAUAAUGUUUCCGUUGGAUUCAUGAAGAUAGUGAAGUGCCAGCUCCUGAUUGGUGCCUCCACCUGGUAAUAUACUGGAACAGGCUGCCGUCAGCAACUCCUCGACUACUGAUGAAAAACAGAAACCAUUAGAAAUGAUACAUGCUUAUGACCUAUAGGACCUCCAGCAAAUCAGUCUCUAGAACAAUAGUUUUGGAGCAGGUGACAGGAUUGGAAGUGGAUGCAAAAUUCAAACGCAUAUCCUGUCACCGGGACAACGAUUAGAGAUCCCAAUCCGACUGAGCAUCUGCAAGAUGUGCUGGAAAAACAAGUCCAACCAUGGAGGCCGCACCUCACAACUUACAGGACUAAGAGCGAAAUGUCUUGGUGCCAGAUACCACAGAACACCUUGCGGAGCGCAUGCCUCAAUGGGUGACAGCUGUUUCAGCAGCAUGAGAUGCGCUUAUAUAACAUACGUUUUAAUGUUAGGUCAGUGUGCUCCAACUCUAUGCCUAAAAUGUGGUGUAAACGAUCAGUACCACUUGAGUUUCUACCUAAUCUGAUAUGAAACACUUGCAAGGAGUGAGAUCCAGACACAGUUAUGUGUUUGUCAUAUUAGAUAUAUG